rnacentral:lncRNA from 1 species
CGCCUGCGACCCCACGCCACGCAGAGGUGAGCAUACGCAGGACGUCCUCUAAUGCCACUUCCGUGGGUGCUAGGUUAGAGGCUGGGGGCGGUGCUGACCUUGAGAGUGCGCGGGGGGGAGGCGCAGGCGCAGCACAGGUAGGUGGGCGGGCGGGGGGUGUUGCUGCGACCGUGAGCCUCGGAGGUACGUUGGGUGGUUUGGGCCGGAGCGCAUCCUCGCCCGGGGAGGCGAUGGAGGCGCAGGUUGAUGAACGGGGUGGGGACUGACCCCAGAGGAUUUAGUGAGGAAGAAAAAUCACAGGCCGUGGUCGUGCUGAGACAACAGUAAUUGCCUGAACUCAGCCACGCGCUUUCUUUUACCUUCUCCUUUUCCAGGCUGCCCCUUCCUGGAGACUUUCCGGAUCUCCACAGACCUGUUUGUCCCUCCGUCAUCUCUUCUACCUGCUUUAGUGCGUCCUGCAGCGCUCCUCUUCCUCGGGGCAGUGGAAUUUGAUCCUCAGAUGUUUCUUCACUAUUCAUAUAUACCAGUUGAAGCCAGAAGAACAUCUACCAAGAGCAGAGAAACCAGGAGGAGAAUUCUGCCUAUUUAAUACAUUCCAAUGUGGACGGUUUCCUUUUAUUUUAAAAAAUAUAUAUCAUCAGCUGGGGAAAAAGUGAAACUCCCGUGUACCUCUUAAUUUGUGCUUUUUUCCAAAAUCUGUACCCAGCAACUCUGUGCCUUUUUUAUUUGGCUGUAAGCCACGGUUCUGGAGGCAGGCUUGAAGUGGAUAUACAGAGCACCUUUAACCCAGAAAUUAAUCUCACAACUUGGGAUCCUUGUUUAAGACGUGACUGUAUCUACAAUUUCACUUACAGGAUCUCUUUUUGCCAGUAUCUAGUUUUGUUAUAAAGCUGGUCUUGGGAGGUAAACUAGGAAGCUUAACAAGAAAUUUAAGAAGGUUGGGCAGGCAGGAGUGGCUAUACAUGUACCUGGAGAGCAUGAUACCCAAGCUAUAAAUGGUCGAAAGACCAUGGGAACCACUUCUGAGCCACCCAAAAGAAGCAUGCUUUAUAUGAAAAAGGGGCCUAGAGACAGAGUGUAUGAGUUGUUUUCACUUUAAAUUUUCUUUUUUUGGUGGGGGUGGAAGGGGGAUGAAUAAUGUGAUAAAGAUACAGGAAUUGUGAGUACCAACGUUGGAAGUAGCUGGAGGUGGGGUGGGGCUGAGAAAUAGUUUGUGAAACAGACCGGCUGCUAACGGAUCCAGAACUUCCCUGAGGGUUCCACCUCUGCUCUAUAGGGACAAGGUUGUAAAUAGACAAGCCCCAGGGCAUCUGCAGAUGAUAAGUGUGGUAGAGAAGGAUUGGAGUCGUUCUGCUUGUGUAUCUGUGGGAAGCAGCUGCUAUCCUUGAGGAAGAAAAGGUGGAGAAGGAAACUGGCUAUCAGUCUGUCAGUAACAACACAUCCUGUGAAGUCUUACUCUUUCAUUUCUGACACUUUGGUUCUUACAUCCAUCCUAAACCUGGCAGCCUCAUUGAGGUUCACAGAGCAUCUCCUCCUAUGUGACAGUAAGACUGGAAUUAUUAUCAGGAUGGAAUCUAUUCCUGCCAGAGUAAAACCACGAGAGGAAAUCACAGUCAGUAUUCGUUAUCUGCUUAUCAUUUUUAAUAGAUCAUGGAGUUCUAUGUUCCUUAUUUGGUAUUUGACAAUUUGAUAAAUAACCCUUGAUUAAUAUCCUUUA